rnacentral:rRNA from 1 species
GAUUAAGUUAUUAAGGGCGCACGGUGGAUGCCUUGNCNCUNGANGCCAAUNAAGNACGUUACUAACGACGAUAUGCUUUGGGGAGCUGUAAGUAAGCUUUGAUCCAGAGAUUUCCGAAUGGGGAAACCCAGCAUGAGUUAUGUCAUGUUAUCGAUAUGUGAAUACAUAGCAUAUCAGAAGGCACACCCGGAGAACUGAAACAUCUUAGUACCCGGAGGAAGAGAAAGAAAAUUCGAUUCCCUUAGUAGCGGCGAGCGAAACGGGAAGAGCCCAAACCAACAAGCUUGCUUGUUGGGGUUGUAGGACACUCUAUACGGAGUUACAAAGGACGACAUUAGACGAAUCAUCUGGAAAGAUGAAUCAAAGAAGGUAAUAAUCCUGUAGUCGAAAAUGUUGUCUCUCUUGAGUGGAUCCUGAGUACGACGGAGCACGUGAAAUUCCGUCGGAAUCUGGGAGGACCAUCUCCUAAGGCUAAAUACUCUCUAGUGACCGAUAGUGAACCAGUACCGUGAGGGAAAGGUGAAAAGCACCCCGGAAGGGGAGUGAAAUAGAACCUGAAACCGUGUGCUUACAAGUAGUCAGAGCCCGUUAAUGGGUGAUGGCGUGCCUUUUGUAGAAUGAACCGGCGAGUUACGAUUUGAUGCAAGGUUAAGCAGUAAAUGUGGAGCCGUAGCGAAAGCGAGUCUGAAUAGGGCGUUUAGUAUUUGGUCGUAGACCCGAAACCAGGUGAUCUACCCUUGGUCAGGUUGAAGUUCAGGUAACACUGAAUGGAGGACCGAACCGACUUACGUUGAAAAGUGAGCGGAUGAACUGAGGGUAGCGGAGAAAUUCCAAUCGAACCUGGAGAUAGCUGGUUCUCUCCGAAAUAGCUUUAGGGCUAGCCUCAAGUGAUGAUUAUUGGAGGUAGAGCACUGUUUGGACGAGGGGCCCCUCUCGGGUUACCGAAUUCAGACAAACUCCGAAUGCCAAUUAAUUUAACUUGGGAGUCAGAACAUGGGUGAUAAGGUCCGUGUUCGAAAGGGAAACAGCCCAGACCACCAGCUAAGGUCCCAAAAUAUAUGUUAAGUGGAAAAGGAUGUGGCGUUGCCCAGACAACUAGGAUGUUGGCUUAGAAGCAGCCAUCAUUUAAAGAGUGCGUAAUAGCUCACUAGUCGAGUGACACUGCGCCGAAAAUGUACCGGGGCUAAACAUAUUACCGAAGCUGUGGAUUGUCCUUUGGACAAUGGUAGGAGAGCGUUCUAAGGGCGUUGAAGCAUGAUCGUAAGGACAUGUGGAGCGCUUAGAAGUGAGAAUGCCGGUGUGAGUAGCGAAAGACGGGUGAGAAUCCCGUCCACCGAUUGACUAAGGUUUCCAGAGGAAGGCUCGUCCGCUCUGGGUUAGUCGGGUCCUAAGCUGAGGCCGACAGGCGUAGGCGAUGGAUAACAGGUUGAUAUUCCUGUACCACCUAUAAUCGUUUUAAUCGAUGGGGGGACGCAGUAGGAUAGGCGAAGCGUGCGAUUGGAUUGCACGUCUAAGCAGUAAGGCUGAGUAUUAGGCAAAUCCGGUACUCAUUAAGGCUGAGCUGUGAUGGGGAGAAGACANUNGGUCUUCGAGUCGUUGAUUUCACACUGCCGAGAAAAGCCUCUAGAUAGAAAAUAGGUGCCCGUACCGCAAACCGACACAGGUAGUCAAGAUGAGAAUUCUAAGGUGAGCGAGCGAACUCUCGUUAAGGAACUCGGCAAAAUGACCCCGUAACUUCGGGAGAAGGGGUGCUCUUUAGGGUUAACGCCCAGAAGAGCCGCAGUGAAUAGGCCCAAGCGACUGUUUAUCAAAAACACAGGUCUCUGCUAAACCGUAAGGUGAUGUAUAGGGGCUGACGCCUGCCCGGUGCUGGAAGGUUAAGAGGAGUGGUUAGCUUCUGCGAAGCUACGAAUCGAAGCCCCAGUAAACGGCGGCCGUAACUAUAACGGUCCUAAGGUAGCGAAAUUCCUUGUCGGGUAAGUUCCGACCCGCACGAAAGGCGUAACGAUUUGGGCACUGUCUCAACGAGAGACUCGGUGAAAUCAUAGUACCUGUGAAGAUGCAGGUUACCCGCGACAGGACGGAAAGACCCCGUGGAGCUUUACUGUAGCCUGAUAUUGAAAUUCGGCACAGCUUGUACAGGAUAGGUAGGAGCCUUUGAAACGUGAGCGCUAGCUUACGUGGAGGCGCUGGUGGGAUACUACCCUAGCUGUGUUGGCUUUCUAACCCGCACCACUUAUCGUGGUGGGAGACAGUNUCAANNNNNCAGUUUGACUGGGGCGGUCGCCUCCUAAAAGGUAACGGAGGCGCUCAAAGGUUCCCUCAGAAUGGUUGGAAAUCAUUCAUAGAGUGUAAAGGCAUAAGGGAGCUUGACUGCGAGACCUACAAGUCGAGCAGGGUCGAAAGACGGACUUAGUGAUCCGGUGGUUCCGCAUGGAAGGGCCAUCGCUCAACGGAUAAAAGCUACCCCGGGGAUAACAGGCUUAUCUCCCCCAAGAGUUCACAUCGACGGGGAGGUUUGGCACCUCGAUGUCGGCUCAUCGCAUCCUGGGGCUGUAGUCGGUCCCAAGGGUUGGGCUGUUCGCCCAUUAAAGCGGUACGCGAGCUGGGUUCAGAACGUCGUGAGACAGUUCGGUCCCUAUCCGUCGUGGGCGUAGGAAAUUUGAGAGGAGCUGUCCUUAGUACGAGAGGACCGGGAUGGACAUACCUCUGGUGUACCAGUUGUCGUGCCAACGGCAUAGCUGGGUAGCUAUGUGUGGACGGGAUAAGUGCUGAAAGCAUCUAAGCAUGAAGCCCCCCUCAAGAUGAGAUUUCCCAACUUCGGUUAUAAGAUCCCUCAAAGAUGAUGAGGUUAAUAGGUUCGAGGUGGAAGCAUGGUGACAUGUGGAGCUGACGAAUACUAAUCGAUCGAAGACUUAAUCAA